GAUGAACGCUGGCGGCGUGCCUAACACAUGCAAGUCGAACGGCAGCGGGGGAGAAGCUUGCUUUUCCUGCCGGCGAGUGGCGAACGGGUGAGUAAUACAUCGGAACGUGCCCUGUAGUGGGGGAUAACUAGUCGAAAGAUUAGCUAAUACCGCAUACGACCUGAGGGUGAAAGUGGGGGACCGCAAGGCCUCAUGCUAUAGGAGCGGCCGAUGUCUGAUUAGCUAGUGGGUGGGGUAAAGGCCUACCAAGGCGACGAUCAGUAGCUGGUCUGAGAGGACGAUCAGCCGCACUGGGACUGAGACACGGCCCAGACUCCUACGGGAGGCAGCAGUGGGGAAUUUUGGACAAUGGGCGAAAGCCUGAUCCAGCAAUGCCGCGUGUGUGAAGAAGGCCUUCGGGUUGUAAAGCACUUUUGUCCGGAAAGAAAUGGCUCUGGUUAAUACCUGGGGUCGAUGACGGUACCGGAAGAAUAAGGACCGGCUAACUACGUGCCAGCAGCCGCGGUAA
rnacentral:rRNA from 1 species